AGCCUCCAGAUUCCUUAUCAAUCAGACCCAAACUCUGCUCUGAGUGGUUAUUAAAGGAGGAAAAAUAAACUUGAAACUGGUUUAAAUUAUUUUGGGACACAUAAGCUACAAACAAAA
rnacentral:snoRNA from 1 species